GAUGAACGCUGGCGGCGUGCCUAAUACAUGCAAGUCGAGCGAACGGACGCGACGCUUGCUUCUCUGAUGUUAGCGGCGGACGGGUGAGUAACACGUGUAUCACCUACCUAUAAUACUGGGAUCACUUCGGGAAUCCGGAGCUAAUACCGGAUAAUCUUUUGCACCGCAUGGUUCAUAAGUGAAAUACGGUCUUGCUGUCUCUUCUCGAUGCAUCCGCGCUGCAUUAGAUAGUUGGUAAGGUAACGGCUUACCAAGGCAACGAUGCAUAGCCGACGUGAGAGGGUGAUAGGCGACACUGGAAGUGAGACAAGGACAAGAGGACUACGGGAGGCAGCAGUAGGGAACGGGACGCAAUGGGCGAAAGCCUGACGGAGCAACGCCGAGUGAGUGAUGAAGGUGUUCGGAUCGUAAAAAUCGGUUAUGAGGGAAGAACAGAUGUGGAAGUAAAUGUGCACAGAGUGACGGUACCGAAUAAGAAAGCAACGGCUAACUACGUG
rnacentral:rRNA from 1 species